rnacentral:rRNA from 1 species
GAUGAACGCUAGCGGCAGGCUUAACACAUGCAAGUCGAGGGGCAACACGGGUAGCAAUACCUGGUGGCGACCGGCGCAAGGGUGCGUAACGCGUGAGCAACAUACCCUAUACAGGGGGAUAAUCCAGGGAAACUUGGUCUAAUAUCCCAUAGGAUUUACAGAUGUCAUCAUCUAUAAAUUAAAGCUUCGGUGGUAUAGGAUUGGCUCGCGUGACAUUAGCUAGAUGGUGGGGUAACGGCCUACCAUGGCCAUGAUGUCUAGGGGUUCUGAGAGGAAGACCCCCCACACUGGGACUGAGACACGGCCCACGACUCCUACGGGAGGGCAGCAGUGAGGAAUAUUGGACAAUGGAUGGAAAUACUGAUCCAGCCAUGCCGCGUGCAGGAAGACGGCCCUAUGGGUUGUAAACUGCUUUUAUAUGGGAGCAAUAAGGUCUACGCGUAGACCGAUGAGAGUACCAUAUGAAUAAGCAUCGGCUAACUCCG